CUCCUAAGCCUGUGUUUACCACAGUCCUUACUGUCGGCGUUUAUCCAAAAACCCUCCAAAAACGCCAUUCAUUUCACUAAGAUUUGUCCAACGAACCAAGGCGGAGUUAGUGCCUACAAAAAAGACGCCAUUUCUAUUUCUCUUUAUAGUAGUGUUGUAUUAACUAGGCUCUAUGUCCCUGUCCUGUGUGUGUAUGAACCAGUGAUGAUUCACUCACCCCCUAGUGACCAGGAGAUGAGCAAAGCCGCCCCGCCACACUACCUACGAGACUGUUUGGCGGCCUUCCUCUCCUCUGAGGACCCUGUGAGGGUGGAGUUCAGUCAGAGAGCUGUUGAGGGACUGGUUAGGAAGAACCCUUCUACAGCCAGUGAGAAAAGAAAUGGAGCGGCAAGGCCACAGAGCAUGACAUACGCAUUGCUGUGCGCGACCACUUCAAGCAUGCCCCUGGUUAUUGCCAUGGGGGGAAGGGGGGGUUACCACAGCACCACACCUUCAGCAGGCUUGAAUAGUGGGGUUGAACUGUUAGUCGUUGUUUGAUCCAUUUGUUUGUUUCAGUUUUCACUAGUUAAAUCCUUUGAUGCAUUGUUGAUUUCAAUUUGGAUUGGUUGAAAAUACUAAACUUACCACUGAGUGUUCAAAGGAUUAAUAUCACCUUCCUAAUAUCGAGUUGCACCCCCCUUUUGCCCUCAGAACAGCCUCAAUUUGUUGGGUCUGCUGAACCAUGUUGACUCCAACGCUUCCCACAGUUGUGUCAAGUGGCUGGAUGUCCUUUGGGUGGUGAACCAUGUUUGAUACACACGGGAAACUGUUGAGUGUGAGAAACCCAGUAGUGUUGCAGUUCUUGACACACUCUAACCGCUGCGCCUGGCACCUACUACCAUACCCCGUUCAAAGGCACUUAAAUAUUUUGUCUUGCCCAUUCACCCUCUGAAUGGCACUCAUACACAAUCCAAGUCUCAAUUUUGCAAGAGUUGGUUGAUUGGUUGGUGCGUUGGUUUGCCAUUGUGUUGACGGAUCAGUGUUCCGUCAACGGGACAGCGCGUUAUGUCAAGAUCCCAGAUUUUAGAGAAACAACAGAUGCCGGUACAUAUAAGUGUCUUAUAUCGGCUGAAGGCUUAAAGUCUUGUUAAUAUAAGUGCACUGUUCAAUUUACAGUAGCUAUUACUGCGAAAAAAUCCAUGCUAUUGUUUGAGGAGAGCUCCUAACAACAAAACACUUUUUUCACCGCGAUAGGUUUGAUAAAUUCACCUCUGAAGGUGAAAUGAGUACUUACAUUCUGAUAUAUUGCUAUGAUUUAUCAUGCAAAGGGUCCCAGAGAUAACAUGAAGUGUUGUUUUGUUAGAUAAAAUCCUUUUUCAUAUCCUAAAAAGGUUCAUAUAGCAUGCAUGAUCGAUUUUGUAUUUCCACUCAAUUUGCAGAAGAAGGAAUCUGUGAGAAUCGCACCCUAAACGUUAUUUCAACAAGUCAAAUCACGUUCGUAUCUAUUCCUCAGAGAUCCUAGAAGGUAACAACACUUCACUAUUUCAUUAGGGGUGUAGUAUAUCCUAUAGGACACCAUGUUUGGUCAGAGAGUGACGCCUUCAUGGAACGCUGAUGACGCGGGCGGCCAUCACUUGAACGACUGUAUCUUUGUCAAAUAAGCACCAAUCGGGGUCAAACAAAGCUAGCUAGAUAGCCAAUGAGCUGGGCUUUACGGGAGUCCCAUACUGGGCUUUACAUACUCUUUAUGGUAGUACGGGACCAUGUAUAUGUCGUAAAAUGUAGCUACUAACCUUGUACGACAGCAUGCCUUUUCAUUUUGGACAAUAAUUAUAAGGAUAUUCAGAGUUAUGAAGUUAUGAAAACUGCUUGUUUUGCAAAUGUUGAACUUAUAAUAUAGCUACUAAUACUUGGAAGCUAAAUCAAAGUCCAAGUAUACAGAUUUGACAAUAUUCUUGCAUAAAAAUGGAAUAUGAAUGCGAAUGUCUCCUUCACGAUUUGUCCAAAUGUACCUGGGGACUUCACACUAAAAGUCUCGUUGUUCACUCAUACUUCAAGUUAUCCAUCUGAAACUUUGCACAUACACUGCUGGACACUAUCGGAAUUACAACCAGAGUGAUGGCUAGAAUUAUGACCUUUCUCUUGCAUUUCAAAGAUGGUGGUAGAAAAAGAUCGGUUUGUUUUAUCUUUGUAUUUUCUUCUACCAGAUCUAUUGUAUUAUAUUCUCCUACAUUCAAUUCACAUUUCCACAAACUUCAAAGUGUUUCCUUUCAAAUGGUACCAAGAAUAUGCAUAUCCUUGCUUCAGGGACUGAGCUACAGGUAGUUAGAUUUGGGUAUGUCAUUUAGGCAAAAAUUGGGAAAAAAAAGACUUUUAAAAGACUAAGAAUAGGAUGCAAUGUCCAACCCAAAAUAUAAGCUUGUUUUACUCCAUUGUUUCUAAACAAUAUAAUUGUACAAACACAUUCUCAGUUGGUUGCAUAAAUAAUUAUGAUGACUAAAUGUUACAUGAAAUAUACAUUUUAAAUAUAAAAAACGGAAUGGAAACCCCUUUGUUAAUAUGUAUUGGCAAUAAUUCACUUAAUGGUGAGGCAUAAAAAUUAAAACUGUCACACUGGAUGUUUGAAAUAUGAGUAGGUGAUUUGAGUCAUGCUUCUUCAGUGGAUAAAGACAAUUAGCAUUUGAAUGUUGUAAA